AGCAAAUACCACUCGGUCAUCACUUGAUUGUUUAGGCUACACUCACCCCAACAAUGUGUCUGUGUUUAUAGGUUGUUUGAUGCUUCUGACCUUCCUCCACAAUACCAGCAAAGAUUUUUGUCAUUUCACAAGUUCCAUGUUGGACUAAUGUCUGAACACUCAGCCGUUCGUCUUUGGCUCCAACACGAGACAUACUUGGCUGAAGUGUUUACCCCGGGUGUGGUCCUCAGCCUUGUGUUUAUGCUGCUCGGGGUGAUGCUUGACGCCAGACAUCGACACCACAUCCAAACAAUGGGCUGUGUCUCUGUUCGCCUCUCCUCAGCAGAUUCACUCCUCAGGAACACAACAGCUUUUUCCCCUCCGUUAUCCCAUCAGCACUAUUCCUGAGGGCUGAUUGGUCACUCCUUAUCUGCGAGUGAAUAAACGGAGAGAGGUGUUCUCUCCUCCGACUGUCUUA